rnacentral:rRNA from 1 species
UACAGAGGUGGCAAGCGUUGUUCGGAAUUACUGGGCGUAAAGGGCGCGUAGGCGGCCUUCUAAGUCAGACGUGAAAUCCCCCGGCUUAACCUGGGAACUGCGUCCGAUACUGGAAGGCUUGAAUCCGGGAGAGGGAUGUGGAAUUCCAGGUGUAGCGGUGAAAUGCGUAGAUAUCUGGAGGAACACCGGUGGCGAAGGCGGCAUUCUGGACCGACAUUGACGCUGAGGAGCGAAAGCCAGGGGAGCAAACGGG